GAGAAGAACGUAGCGAAAUGCGAUACGUAGUGUGAAUUGCAGAAUUCAGUGAAUCAUCGAAUCUUUGAACACACAUUGCACCUCUCGGUAUUCCGGGAGGUAUGCCUGUUCGAGCGUCAUUUGUACCCUCAAGCUCUGCUUGGUGUUGGGUGUUUGUUCCGCCUCUGUGUGUGAACUCGCCUCAAAACAAUUGGCAGCCGGCGUACUUGUUUCGGAGCGCAGCACAUUUUGCGAUCCAGAUCAACGUACAGCGGCAUCCAAGAAGCCUUAUUUAACGCUCUUGACCUCGGAUCAGGUAGGGAUACCCGCUGAACUUAAGCAUAUCAAUAAGCGGAGGA
rnacentral:misc_RNA from 1 species